rnacentral:rRNA from 1 species
CGAGGUGGCGGACGGGUGAGUAUGCAUCGGAACGUGUCCUGAAGUAGGGGGAGUAACGCAUCGAAAGAUGUGCUAAUACCGCAUAUUCUCUGAGGAGGAAAGUAGGGGAUCGAAAGACCUUAUGCUUUUGGAGCGGCCGAUGUCUGAUUAGCUAGUUGGUAGGGUAAUGGCUUACCAAGGCGACGAUCAGUAGUUGGUCUGAGAGGACGACCAGCCACACUGGGACUGAGACACGGCCCAGACUCCUACGGGAGGCAGCAGUGGGGAAUUUUGGACAAUGGGCGCAAGCCUGAUCCAGCAAUGCCGCGUGAGUGAAGAAGGCCUUCGGGUUGUAAAGCUCUUUCAGUUGAGAAGAAAAAGUCGUGACUAAUAAUCAUGAUUCAUGACGGUAUCAACAGAAGAAGCACCGGCUAACUACGUGCCAGCAGCCGCGGUAAUACGUAGGGUGCAAGCGUUAAUCGGAAUUACUGGGCG